AGUUCCGAGGUGUUCUCACAUCAGAUUGCAAGUCUGAAGAAGCAGGCUAACACCUGCCGGGGCUU
rnacentral:tRNA from 1 species